rnacentral:rRNA from 1 species
UGUAACGCGUGGAUAACCUGCCCAUUAGACCGGGAUAACGCUGGGAAACUGGCGCUAAUACCGGAUACGCUCCUUGCUCCGCAUGGGGUAAGGAGGAAAGGGGGAACCCGCUAAUGGAUGGGUCCGCGUCCCAUUAGCUAGAUGGUGGGGUAACGGCCUACCAUGGCGACGAUGGGUAGCCGGCCUGAGAGGGUGACCGGCCACACUGGGACUGAGACACGGCCCAGACUCCUACGGGAGGCAGCAGUGGGGAAUCUUCCGCAAUGGGCGAAAGCCUGACGGAGCGACGCCGCGUGAGCGAGGAAGGCCUUCGGGUCGUAAAGCUCUGUUCUGGGGGAAGAAGUAAGUGACGGUACUCCAGGAGAAAGCCCCGGCUAACUACGUGCCAGCAGCCGCGGUAAGACGUAGGGGGCGAGCGUUGUCCGGAAUCACUGGGCGUAAAGGGCGCGUAGGCGGUCCAAGAAGUCAGUGGUGAAAUACCGCAGCUCAACUGCGGGGGCGCCAUUGAAACCAUUGGACUUGAGGGCAGGAGAGGGGAGUGGAAUUCCCGGUGUAGCGGUGAAACGCGUAGAUAUCGGGAGGAACACCAGUGGCGAAGGCGGCUCUCUGGCCUGGCCCUGACGCUGAGGCGCGGAAGCGUGGGGAGCCAACAGGAUUAGAUACCCUGGUAGUCCACGCUGUAAACGAUGGGUGCUAGGUGUUGGGGGGAUAGGACCCUUCAGUGCCGUAGCUAACGCAAUAAGCACCCCGCCUGGGGAGUACGGCCGCAAGGCUGAAACUCAAGGGAAUUGACGGGGGCCCGCACAAGCGGUGGAGCAUGUGGUUUAAUUCGACGCAACGCGAAGAACCUUACCAGGGCUUGACAU